AGCGAACGCUGGCGGCAGGCCUAACACAUGCAAGUCGAACGAACCCUUCGGGGUUAGUGGCGGACGGGUGAGUAACACGUGGGAACGUGCCUUUAGGUUCGGAAUAACUCAGGGAAACUUGUGCUAAUACCGAAUGUGCCCUUCGGGGGAAAGAUUUAUCGCCUUUAGAGCGGCCCGCGUCUGAUUAGCUAGUUGGUGAGGUAAUGGCUCCCCAAGGCUACGAUCAGUAGCUGGACUGGGAGGAUGACCAGCCACAUUGGGACUGAGACACGGCCCAAACUCCUACGGGAGGCAGCAGUGGGGAAUCUUGCGCAAUGGGCGAAAGCCUGACGCAGCCAUGCCGCGUGGAUGAUGAAGGUCUUAGGAUUGUAAAAUCCUUUCACCGGUGAAGAUAAUGACUGUAGCCGGAGAAGAAGCCCCGGCUAACUUCGUGCCAGCCGCCGCAGUAAGAC
rnacentral:rRNA from 1 species